UCAUUAGGCUUUUCGACUUGGUAUGGUGCUUCUUGUUUUGAAUGCUUCUUAGAUAUUGUCAUUUAUCUUGUUUGUUAAUUUUCAGAUUCUUUUCUUGGGUUUGUAGGCUACUUUGGCUGAUUCCUUUCUAGCAUAUCUUGAUGAACUCUCUAAUGUAAACAAGUUUCAGGUUUCUAAAGGCUUUUUACUUCUCCGUGUAAAUGAAGUAAUAACUAUGUUGGUUGUUAUGACCAAAACCUUCAGAUUUGUAUGGAAAACAUACAUGGAAAAUAGAGAAAUUUUCUCAACUUACCAAACGAGAACUUCGAAGUAAUGCUUUUGAGGUUGGAGGCUAUAAAUGGUUGGAGCCAUUUUGCACAGUUUACAAUAGCAGUGGUGAAUAAGGAUCCAAAGAAAUCAAAAUAUUCUGAUACAUUACAUCGGUUCUGGAAGAAAGAACAUGACUGGGGAUGGAAAAAAUUCAUGGAGCUCUCAAAAGUGUUAGAUGGUUUUAUUGACGCUGACACUCUCAUAAUAAAGGCACAAGUUCAAGUGAUUAGAUGGCUUCAGUGAUUGCUGCAAAUCUUUUAACAAGCAUAAAACUCAUAGAUUUGUUAUGCGUUGUAGUGACGUGGGUGUUUUCUAUUAUAAAACUUUAUGCUAGAUUUGCAAGACAUCACAAAAGCAAGAAAGAUACCGAAGCGUGCUUUGCCUAUUAUUUGCUUCAGAGAAGUCAGCCCCCCAUUGUCA